UUCUAGAGGAGCCAGGAGCUCUCAUCUUGAAACCCUAACAAGCUAAAAUUCAAGCAAUUGGAAGGGCAAAUCACACCCAAAUUGAAAUCCAAGCAUGGAUUAGUGAUCACCUCAGUGAAAUGAUCAUAAGAUUGACGCCUAACGAGCUAGGUGGAGGCUUGGGAAAGGAAGCAGGUCAAACAAAUCUAGAAUGGAGGAAAAGCAUAAUUCGGAUGCUAGGUAUUAUAUACAAUACCGGGGGACGAUCAAGCUCAACGAAGAACGGAACACGAUCAAGUUCAAGCUUCCGCGUAUUAUUACGUUGUCGUUUUGAACGACGAAUUCAAUCACAUUGUGUUGUUUUGUUUUAAUGCUAAGUAAAGUUUAAAUAAACCCGUAUUGUGAUUGGUA